CAGCAGCCGCGGUAAUACGAAGGGUGCAAGCGUUAAUCGGAAUUACUGGGCGUAAAGCGUGCGUAGGCGGUUUGUUAAGUCUGCUGUGAAAUCCCCGGGCUCAACCUGGGAAUGGCAGUGGAUACUGGCUCGCUAGAGUGUGUCAGAGGAUGGUGGAAUUCCCGGUGUAGCGGUGAAAUGCGUAGAGAUCGGGAGGAACAUCAGUGGCGAAGGCGGCCAUCUGGGACAACACUGACGCUGAGGCACGAAAGCGUGGGGAGCAAACAGGAUUAGAUACCCCAGUAGUCCCUGUCUCUUAUAC
rnacentral:rRNA from 1 species